rnacentral:lncRNA from 1 species
GUGGCGGAGCCCGGUGAUGGAGGUGGUGGUGGAGUUGAACCUGGCUCAGUUGGCGGUGAUUGAGGUGAUGGUCCUGCUUCGCUGGUAGGUGGAGUAGGUGUUGUUCCAGAACCAGGUGGGGUAGGAGUGGUUCCAGAACCAGGUGGUGAGGGUGAAGGUGAAGAACCUGUGACGCUGACGCUCAGUUUUUGGCCACUGCUGCAAUGACCUUGGAUUGUGCAUGCAAAAUAGAACUCCCCAG